rnacentral:rRNA from 1 species
GUGUCAGCCGCCGCGGUAACACGUAGGGGCCGAGCGUUGUCCGGAGUUACUGGGCGUAAAGCGCGCGCAGGCGGUCGUGUGCAUCGGUGGUGAAAGCCCCGGGCUUAACCCGGGAGGGUCCAUCGAGAUGGCACGACUGGAGGCAGGGCGAGGGCGGUGGAAUUCCGGGUGUAGUGGUGAAAUGCGUAGAGAUCCGGAGGAACACCAGUGGCGAAGGCGGCCGCCUGGACCUGACCUGACGCUGAGGCGCGAAGGCGUGGGGAGCGAACGGGAUUAGAAACCCCCGUAGUCC